rnacentral:rRNA from 1 species
AAUGAACGCUGGCGGCGCGCCUAAUACAUGCAAGUCGAGCGAGAAGACGUAGCAAUACGUUUGUAAAGCGGCGAACGGGUGAGGAAUACAUGGGUAACCUACCCUCGAGUGGGGAAUAACUAGCCGAAAGGUUAGCUAAUACCGCGUACGCUCCUUGGACUUCGGUUCAGGGAGGAAAGCGAUACCGUGGGUAUCGCGCUCUUGGUUGGGCUCAUGUCCUAUCAGCUUGUUGGUGAGGAACGGCUCACCAAGGCUUCGACGGGUAGCUGGUCUGAGAGGACGAUCAGCCACACUGGCACUGCGACACGGGCCAGACUCCUACGGGAGGCAGCAGUAAGGAAUAUUGCGCAAUGGGCGAAAGCCUGACGCAGCGACGCCGCGGUGGGGGA